GACGAACGCUGGCGGCGUGCCUAAUACAUGCAAGUUGAGCGCUGAAGCUUGGUACUUGUACCAACUGGAUGAGCAGCGAACGGGUGAGUAACGCGUGGGGAAUCUGCCUUUGAGCGGGGGACAACAUUUGGAAACGAAUGCUAAUACCGCAUAAAAUCUUUAAACACAAGUUUUAAGUUUGAAAGAUGCAAUUGCAUCACUCAAAGAUGAUCCCGCGUUGUAUUAGCUAGUUGGUGAGGUAAAGGCUCACCAAGGCGAUGAUACAUAGCCGACCUGAGAGGGUGAUCGGCCACAUUGGGACUGAGACACGGCCCAAACUCCUACGGGAGGCAGCAGGAGGGAAUCUUCGGCAAUGGGCGAAAGUCUGACCGAGCAACGGCGGGUGAGUGAAGAAGGUUUUCGGAUCGUAAAACUCUGUUGGUAGAGAAGAACGUUGGUGAGAGUGGAAAGCGCAUCAAGUGACGGUAACUACCCAGAAAGGGACGGCUAACUACGUG
rnacentral:rRNA from 1 species